rnacentral:sRNA from 1 species
UACUCUUUCUCGUACCUCAGAUUAUCUAAC